UACGUAGGGGGCAAGCGUUGUCCGGAAUCAUUGGGCGUAAAGCGCGUGUAGGCGGCUUCGUAAGUCCGUUGUGAAAGUCCAGGGCUCAACCCUGGAAUGCCGAUGGAUACUGCGGAGCUAGAGUCCGGAAGAGGCGAGUGGAAUUCCCAGUGUAGAGGUGAAAUUCGUAGAUAUUGGGAAGAACACCGGUGGCGAAGGCGGCUCACUGGCUCAUAUCUGACGCUCAGGCGCGACAGCGUGGGGAUCAAACAGG
rnacentral:rRNA from 1 species